AUUGAACGCUGGCGGCAUGCUUUACACAUGCAAGUCGAACGGCAGCACGGUCUUCGGCCUGUCUUCCGGGUGCCGACUGGCGAAUAAUUCAUCGGUACAUGCGCAUUUAUUGUGUAUAGCCCGGCGAAGUCGGGAUUAAUACCCCAUACCACCUUACGGUGUAAGCGGGAAACCGAAAGACCUCCCGCUAUUGCACCGUCGAAUGUGCCGAUGUCGGAUUAGCUAGUUGGAGGGGUAAAGGCUCACCAAGGCGACGAUCCGUAGCUGGUCUGAGAGGAUGAUCAGCCACACUGGGACUGAGACACGGCCCAGACUCCUACGGGAGGCAGCAGUGGGGAAUUUUGGACAAUGGGGGCAAGCCUGAUCCAGCCAUGCCGCGUGCGGGAAGAAGGCCUUCGGGUUGUAAAGCGCUUUUGUUGGGGAAGAAAUCCAGUGGGCUAAUACCCCGGUGUGAUGACGGUACCGGAAGAAUAAGCACCGGCUAACUUCGUG
rnacentral:rRNA from 1 species